AUGGACUAAACAACAAGGACUAUUCAUGUAAUUUAUUCUUAAAAAAAUAAUUCUUAGAAAAGAAAAAAGUAUGUAUAUGAUAAAUAACAUUGUUAACUCUAUGUAUUUUAUUAAAAUUAUUAUUGUAAAUUGCAUGAAAGUCACUAUAUUACUAUAAAAUUUUUAUUUUGACACUCUAUUUUUUUUUCUCAAUUAUAUGACUAUAUUUACAAUUUCGUUGCAAUGUCAACCAAAUGACCGAUUCUUCCUGUUCUCCCGAUAACAAUUUUUUCCAAAUUGCAAUAAAGUCACUUUGUUUACCAAAAUUUUAAUUUUUACAUUGAGUUUUAAAUUGCAAGAAAGUCAUUAUAUUACCACAAAAUUUCGAUUUUGACAUCAAGUUUUUUUUCUCAAUUAUAUCAUUACAUUUAUAUUUUUGUUACAAUAUCAACCAAUUGACUGGUUCAGAAGAUAUUAUUGUGGUUUAAAAACUCGAUUUGUGCAGUAAAUAAAUGAAGUGUACUUGUGGAAUUCAGAGUGGUGAUAAACAUCAGUUAACCAAUGGAUUAUGUGGACGCCUUUGUAUCAUUCUUUUGGAUGUUCAAGAAACAGAUAAGGCACGCGUUGAUCUUUGAAUGAUAAACACAUUAUAGGGGAACAUGCACUUUGAUUUUGAAUGUUCUUCGAAAAGAGGGAUCCUUACUCCUUAGUAUAUAGGAUCUGUCAGUGUUUGUUUCAAGUCAUGUUACUUCCUUAGAAUAUUUUUUGGUCGUUGAAGGUAUGUGGACAUCUAAUAUGUAGGUUACUUGUAUCGAUAUCUAUGCUCCUCAGGUUUGAUAGAGGAUUCCUUUAAAAGCUUAUUCGAAUCAGGGAAAAGGAUUUUAUUUUAUUUGAUGAUUUAAUGACGUCUAGAUGCAAUCAUAAAGGUACAAAUCAACUUUUUGCAGUCUUCGACAAAUAACUUAAAGAUUUUAACUUCAUUUCACAUUUAAUUUCACAUUUUACCAAUUGUUAAAAGACGUAUGUAACCUUAUUCUCACAUGUACUAUUAUCAACUCAAGAAGGUGGGACAUUGACUCGAUCUCAAUCUGUCAUAUGUCCAAAAGACGUGAAUACCCUCCUCAUCCUCAAUCAUCGAAAAUAACCCUUGAAAGCUUGUUGAGUUUAGUCUAGACAUGUGUACUCUAAUGACAAAAACAAUAUAUAUGUGGAUGUGAAUGUGAAUGCAAUACGAUUUACAUAAAGAGGAAAGAAAUAGAUUUAGGCUUAUUAAAAAUGUGGAUAACAUUAUAUUAUUACUUGAGACACAUAAUAGCUUCAAGUCAAAAUACAAUCAAUAAAACAUGCUAACCUCCCUCUCUUAUUCCUAGAUAAGGAAGAAAGAAGGAAGAAACGAUCAAGACUCCAUAUGUAACACCUUCGGUUUUCAUCUAUCCAUUUGCCACUGCAAACAAGAUUAAAUAUAAUUCAAAGCUUUGGUAACAGAAUGCUUCAAGAAUACUUGUGAAAUUAUAGAGUUAAAAGGGUAUUUGAGUAAUUUUAAACAAGGAGGAAAUCACAUGGAAUUGAAUUCCAACAGAAUUCAAUUAUGUACUCAUAAGUCAUAACAGUGUGAUUGGAAUGUAACUGAAUCCAAAUUCCAGCCAAAGCUAAUAAAAGAAGGAAUAGAAAGGUACCUGGUUAUCCACUUAAAUUUUCAACCGAAUUAACAUCUUCAUCAUCCCCUUCCCUUAUUUUUGCAAUUUCCUCUUGUGCCCUUUCAAGAAUCUGCUUCUUCUGCAAUUCCAACUCUCUCUGAAAAUCCAUCCUCAUCUUCUCCAAAUCCAUCAUCUGCUGUCUUUUUCUACCUUCGAUCUUCUCAUAAAUCUCCCCAAAAUUCUGAACAGAUUCAGCCAACAAUCUAAAUCCAUCAUCAUCUUUCCUGUCAUCAGAAUCAUCUUCAUCAGACUCUGAUUCCCCAGGGCUAUCCCUCAUCUCAUCCAAGGCAUUUGAUUGAUUUAAAUAAACUUUGGUAUUCAUAAACACAUAUUCCCCUGAAUCAACCCCACAAGGCAAACCAUUGUGUUGUUUCUUU